rnacentral:lncRNA from 1 species
GGAAGAGCAGUUGGAUGCUGGAGCUGGCAGGACCGGCAUCUCCCUCCGGAUCAGCUAGAAACUUGACAGGGUUCGGUGUGUGGCAGAGCAGGACAAAGAGAGAAGGGGAGAGGGAAGAGUUUUUGCCCAUCAGAGCCUUCUCCUGAUGACGGACGCAAACACCAACCUCUGAGCACAGCGUGUGUAGGUGCAAACCCAGCCCGAUGUACUCACCUGCCGUUGGGACCUUCCAUCCUCUCAUCUGCUCUGCCCCAAAUUCAGGAACGUGGUGAAGGCUCACACCAGCCUCUGCUCAUCGCCUGCCCUGAAUCCCUUUGGUGAAACUCGUUGGCAUCGGAGGAACUGGGUCUGGAGGAGCUCAGCCCUGCUGGUGUCGGUGUGGGGCUCGGAGGUGCGGUGGGUGGCAGAGCUCCUCUGGAGCCCCCCAGCCCCUCCUCAGCAGGAGGCAGGCUUCCUUUCUCUGCUCUGCGCACUGUCCAAUCCCAAGGCUG